UACAGAGGGUGCGAGCGUUAAUCGGAAUUACUGGGCGUAAAGCGUGCGUAGACGGUUUCGUAAGUCGGGUGUGAAAUCCCCGGGCUCAACCUGGGAAUUGCAUUCGAAACUGCGAGGCUAGGGUACGGAAGAGGGAAGCGGAAUUUCUGGUGUAGCGGUGAAAUGCGUAGAGAUCGGAAAGAACACCAACGGCGAAAGCGCUCUGCUGGGCCGACACUGACACUAAGAGACGAAAGCUAGGGGAGCGAAUGGG
rnacentral:rRNA from 1 species